rnacentral:rRNA from 1 species
CCUACGGGAGGCAGCAGUGGGGAAUAUUGCACAAUGGGCGCAAGCCUGAUGCAGCCAUGCCGCGUGUGUGAAGAAGGCCUUCGGGUUGUAAAGCACUUUCAGUCAGGAGGAAAGGUUAGUAGUUAAUACCUGCUAGCUGUGACGUUACUGACAGAAGAAGCACCGGCUAACUCCGUGCCAGCAGCCGCGGUAAUA